rnacentral:rRNA from 1 species
UACGUAGGGUCCGAGCGUUGUCCGGACUUAUUGGGCGUAAAGGGCUCGUAGGCGGUCUGUUGCGUCGGGAGUGAAAAUUCGCAGCUUAACUGUGAACUUGCUUCCGAUACGGGCAGACUUGAGGUAUUCAGGGGAGAACGGAAUUCCUGGUGUAGCGGUGAAAUGCGCAGAUAUCAGGAGGAACACCGGUGGCGAAGGCGGUUCUCUGGGAAUAUCCUGACGCUGAGGAGCGAAAGUGUGGGGAGCGAACAGG